GACGUAGGAGGCGAGCGUUGUCCGGAUUCAUUGGGCGUAAAGAGCGCGCAGGCGGCUUGGUAAGUCGGAUGUGAAAUCCCGAGGCUCAACCUCGGGUCUGCAUCCGAUACUGCCCGGCUAGAGGUAGGUAGGGGAGAUCGGAAUUCCUGGUGUAGCGGUGAAAUGCGCAGAUAUCAGGAGGAACACCGGUGGCGAAGGCGGGUCUCUGGGCAGUAACUGACGCUGAGGAGCGAAAGCGUGGGGAGCGAACAGG
rnacentral:rRNA from 1 species